rnacentral:rRNA from 1 species
UGCGUAGGCGGGUUUCUAAGUCAGAGGUGAAAGCCUGGAGCUCAACUCCAGAACUGCCUUUGAUACUGGAAGUCUUGAGUAUGGCAGAGGUGAGUGGAACUGCGAGUGUAGGGGUGAAAUUCGUAGAUAUUCGCAAGAACACCAGUGGCGAAGGCGGCUCACUGGCUCGAUACUGACGCUGAGGUGCGAAAGCGUGGGAAGCAAACA